CAUGUCUUUUUGGUAUAUAAUAUAAAGUCUAAUCUGCUCAAUGAUAGUUUAAAUUGCCGCAGUAUUUUAACUGUGCAAAGGUAGCAUAAUAAUUAGCUUUUUAAUUAGAAGCUGGAAUGAAUGAUUGGACGAGAAUAUAACUGUCUCUAUUUAAAUAAUUGUUGAAUUUUAUUUUUAAGUUAAAAAGCUUAAAUUUUUAUAAAAGACGAGAAGACCCUAUAGAGUUUGAUAUUAGUUAAUUAUUAGUUUUUAGAAAUGUUUUUAAUUAAUUAAUAUUUAGUUGGGGUGACUUAAAGAUUAAAUUAAUUCUUUAAAAUUUAAAUUGAUGAUGUUUAAUUUUAUAAUCUAAAUUUUUUAAAUUUAAAAUAAAUUACCUUAGGGAUAACAGCGUAAUUUUUCUUUAAAGUUCCUAUUGAAAGGAAAGUUUGCGACCUCGAUGUUGGAUUAAAAUAAAUUUUUGGCGCAGUUGCUUAAAAAUUUGGUCUGUUCGACCUUUAAUAUUUUACAUGAUCUGAGUUUAAACCGGUGUAAGCCAGGUUGGAUUCUAUCUUUAGAAAUUUUAUAUAUUUUAGUACGAAAGGACCAAAUAUAUAUUAUAAUUAAUUG
rnacentral:rRNA from 1 species